GACGAACCGUGCAAACGUUGUUCGGAAUUACUGGGCGUAAAGCGCGUGUAGGCGGCCCUGCAAGUCGGAUGUGAAAUCCCACGGCUCAACCGUGGAAGUGCAUUCGAAACUGCAGGGCUAGAGUCCUGGAGAGGAAGGUGGAAUGCUUGGUGUAGAGGUGAAAUUCGUAGAUAUCAAGCGGAACACCGGUGGCGAAGGCGGCCUUCUGGACAGUGACUGACGCUGAGACGCGAAAGCGUGGGGAGCAAACAGG
rnacentral:rRNA from 1 species